UAGUAGGACAUACUACCUUAAUGGAGGUUGCGACAACAGAGAAGGGAUGUCAAAGCUAAAUGCCAGAAUGGAGAAUAUUGAGGGUGGACAUGAAGUAAAUAGGAUAUUCUAUCUUUCUGUGCCACAAGAGGCACUCCUUGAUGUUGCAUCUUCUCUUGCUGACAAUGCCCAAACCCGAAGGGGCUGGAAUCGUAUAAUAAUUGAGAAGCCCUUUGGAUUUGAUGCACCAUCUUCUCAUCAAUUGACUAAGUCUCUUCUUUCUAAGUUUGAGGAGAAACAAUUAUACAGGAUAGAUCAUCUUUUAGGAAGAAACCUUAUUGAGAACCUCACAGUAUUAAGAUUUUCAAAUCUUGUUUUUGAGCCAUUGUGGAGCCGAACUUAUAUACGCAACGUACAGAUCAUUUUAUCAGAAGAUCUUAGUGUGCAGACUGGAAGGUAUUUUGAUGGGUAUGGGAUCAUUCGGGACAUAGUGCAUAGUCAUAUAUUUCAGACAAUAGCAUUACUUGCCAUGGAGCCACCUAUAAGUCUUGAUGGUGAAGAUAUUCGAAAUGAAAAAGUCAAGGUUUUAAGAUCAAUUUGCAGAUUGGAUCCUAGUGAUGUUAUCCUUGGGCAAUAUAAAGCUAUUUCUGGGGACAAGGUUGAUGUAAAGUUGAACGAUAUGACACCAACGUUUUUUGCUGCUGCAUUAUACAUUGACAAUGCACGCUGGGAUGGUGUGCCUUUUAUUGUCAAAACUGGCAUGGGAC
rnacentral:misc_RNA from 1 species